rnacentral:misc_RNA from 1 species
AACCAUUCUCACCUGCGGCUAGACCUGCGGAAGGAUCAUUACACAUAUAAAGUAUGCCUGGGAAAAUUCGAAAGAAAAGUACCCAGGCGUAUUCUUAUACCCAUGUCUUUUGCGUACUACUUGUUUCCUUGGUGGGCUUGCCUGCCAUUAGGACACCCCUACAAACCUUUUGUAAUUGCAGUCAGCGUCAGAAAAUAACGUAAUCGUUACAACUUUUAACAAUGGAUCUCAGAUCGGAAG